GGGGUGUUGUUGAACACAAGGCCCAACAGCAGUGGAGACUUUGUUCCAGCCUUGGGCUGAGAGUGGGAUGGUGGUUUGUCUAGACAUUUUUCACUUUUCACUGGAUCCACCAGUUUGAUGCAGCAUCUGAACUGACAGCCACUGUGCUGCAUUCAAGUCUGCACUGGCUGAGGCUGUUCUGGCCUACAACAAAAGCCACUUGGAUCUGCUCAUAAAGGCUGUCAAGGGCUGAGGGGGAAGCCUUGAAGACUUUAUCAGAUGACUGCAUUAUUCAGCAGCACAUUUCCAGGAAGCAGGUGAAGCACCACGUGUGGAGGGGAACUCUAGGACCACAGGAAACCUUCCAGUUCAUCCAGAUGGUGAUAGGAGCUGAAAGGUCCAGCUGGACUGGAUGAAAGUGGAGUGAGCCUCCUCAAAACACCAAAGGACAUCGAUGAGGUGUGGGCAUGCCAGCAGUGGCAUCUGGGCUCCAUUCAGGAUCCACCGGACUUGUGCAUGUACAGGGUGUUACCACCAUCAACGGUGUGGAUGUUCCUUUCUACAAAGGACUUUGUGGAAGCAACAGCCUGGACGGUUUCCACAAAGUGCAGCUAACAUGAUUCCAGGUAGAACACUGACGUGCAUAGAAGCAGCACAUGAAAUGUUAUGAAAAAUGAGGUUCCUGAAAAAUGUCACCACACAUGGCCACACUGUGCUGCACAUCCGUAUCAGGUGUACCUCAGAAGCGGCAUUGCUCGGUGGAAUUCUGACAGGAGCGCAGAUGUCGUGUUUGGAGGCAGAGACACAGGACGUACUCUGCUCUACUGCUGCAUGUUGUCUUUUUAUUCUCAGAUUUGUUUUUGUUUUUUAAAACAGGAGGUCUGCAGUCCGAAUCCUCUUCCUGGUUUCCAGAAGUUGGAGGGAUUCUGCUCUCUGCUCGUGGGGAUUGGCAUGACUGAGAACAAGCUGUCCCUCCUCACAGAGCAAAGAAGUGGGGUUGGGGAAGCCUGGAAUGCCGUGGAGGAACAUGACAAGCAGCCGCAGACGUUUCAACAGCUGUACAGGAUGCACUGAGGCAACACCCUGUACUGCCGAACCAAGAGGGACGAUCUUGUUGACGCUGCUGUUAUCCAGAAAGUCAAAAUGGCUGAACGAUAUGCACCAGCUCAGCAAGACAUCACUGCCCAAAAAAACAGGCUGAUGUACACACUGGUGAAACUGUUGUGGCUGCGGACACCUCACGGCUCUCAAAGCAGCAUCCUAAAAGCGUAUGAACGCUUUCUUCCAGCAUCGUCUUCUGGUGAAGUACCCAAUCCUGUCCAAAGCGGGAUCUCUCCACCGUAGAUGAACAGCAACACGGUGAGAGACUUAAUACGUUUUCAGGAGAGGCUGCUGAACCUCAACGCCACCAAGCAGCCAUCCACCAUCACCUCCUCUGAGCUACCUCCAGCACCACAUCAGCCAGCUGUGCUGCCCCUCCAAGAUUACGUAUGCGCCCACCCAAAGCACCGCUGGAACAAAAAAGAUAAGAAAACAAAAAAAAAAAACAGAAAUCCCUCUGCCAUCUUCCACCUCCUUCCCAAAACCACCUGCACUAAUCCAGCACCAGAGAAAGCUAAAAUAAAAAAACUCCAACACCCCACAGCUGCUGCCUCAUCCUCCCUGAGCAUCUCCAUCAUUCAAAAAUACCUACUCCUGACAUUCCCUCCUCCAGCAACAGCACCUCCUCCAGCAACAGCACCUCCUCCAGCAUCAGCACCCCCUCCUGGGCAAAAGCCACUAUAAAAAAAAAGGAAUCUCAAAGAAAACUGCUCAGGAGGUGAAGUUAAACAAUCAAGGGUAGAAAAUCUCCCCGUUUGCAUCAUCUGUGGCCAAUCCCUGCCACAAAAAGAAAAGUGUUUUUGCACAGUGAGUCGACAUCAAAAGGACUUGAAAACAGGGUUUAGGAAAGCUUUGGGGCCACACUGUGCUGCACAUCCGUAUCAGGUGUACCUCAGAAGCGGCAUUGCUCGGUGGAAUUCUGACAGGCUGAUUUACAGGCUCAACAGGGAAAUCUGGGCCUUCUUCCCUGCAGGACAUCAUGUCUGAUGGACCUGGUGUUGAUCCAGAAUUGGAGGAUGAUGACAUUCAUCAGCCCAGCCCACAUAAAUCUGACACCUCCACUCCUCACCGUCCAGCCUUUGUGAGUAGCCUCUUUUUAAAAGGCACAGACAGUCUACUGAAUAUUGGUCUUUUUAUUCUCUGAAACAUUUAUUUUUAAACUUUUGUUCUUUAAAACAGGAAGUUUGCAGUCCGAAUCCUCUUCCUGGUUUCCAGAAGUUGGAGAGAUUCUGCUCUCUGCUGGUGGGGAUUGGCAUGACUGAGAACAAGCUGUCCCUCCUCACAGAGCAAAGGAGUGAGGUUGUGGAAGCCUGGAAUGCCGUGGAGGAACAUGACAAGCAGCCGCAGACGUUUCACCAGCUGUACAGGACUCACUGAGGCAACAUCCUGUACUGCCGAACCAAGAGGGAUGAUCUUGUUGAAGCUGCUGUUAUCCAGAAAAGUCAAAAUGGCUAAAUGGUACGCACCAGCUCAGCAAUACAUGUCCAGCCUAUUCUGCUAAGACUAGCCAAUUGUUUACUUGAGCUGUAACUCCGGUUACCCAGUUCGAGUAAGUUAGAUUUUAAUUGUAAGUAUGCCUACCGGUAGCUUCAUAUGGUAUAGGCAAUAUAACCAUCGACGGCACUAGCAAAAAAAAAAAAAA